AGCAGCCGCGGUAAUUCCAGCUCCAAUAGCGUAUAUUAAAGUUGUUGCAGUUAAAAAGCUCGUAGUUGAAUUUCGGGAUCAAUACGUCGGUCGUGCUUCGGUACGUACUGGCGUCAUUGAUUUCUCCCUUCUGACGAACCAUGAUGUCAUUAACUUGGUGUCAUGGGAAAUCAGGACUGUUACUUUGAAAAAAUUAGAGUGUUUAAAGCAGGCUCACGCUUGAAUACAUUAGCAUGGAAUAAUGAAAUAGGACGUUCGAUCCUAUUUUGUUGGUUUCUAGGAUCAACGUAAUGAUUAAUAGGGAUAGUUGGGGGCAUUAGUAUUCAAUUGUCAGAGGUGAAAUUCUUGGAUUUAUUGAAGACUAACUACUGCGAAAGCAUUUGCCAAGGAUGUUUUCAUUAAUCAAGAACGAAAGUUAGGGGAUCGAAGACGAUCAGAUACCGUCGUAGUCUUAACCAUAAACUAUGCCGACUAGGGAUCGGAUGAUGUUAAUUUUUUAAUGACUCAUUCGGCGCCUUACG
rnacentral:rRNA from 1 species